CUCAUCGUGGCCUUCUUUCCAGAGCAACCGCCAGCCGCCGCUCCUCCCUCCGUCCCGGCCCCCUCCCCUCCGUCGCGGCGAUCACAGGAGAGUCAUGGUCACGUCCGCUCCGUCGCAGCCCCCUGUCUCCUCCGUGGCAGCCGCCGCCCUCUCAUCUGUCGCGGGGAUAGCCAGGAGAUUCACGGCCCCGUACUCUACGUCGCAGCCCCCUCUCGUCUGUCGCAAGGAUCGCCAGGAGAGUCACAGACCCGUCCCCUCCAUCGCGGGGAUCAGCUGGAGUGUCGCCGGGAUCAUCGGGAUCGCCGCGAGCAUCCAGCCCUACUUGACGAGCGCCGCCUGAGAUUACGGCGGACAGUAAGCUCCGAUUCAUCAAAAAAAUUAUUCAAGGGAGAAGGGGCUACUAAAGCAUAAUUGGGCACAUUUGUCUACAAAUUUAUUCAAAUGUCUAGAUUGGUAGACAUGUCGCUCGAGUACUACCUAAUAUUGGCAAAACAUGGUUCAUUUGCUUUGUAACUCAGCCGACUUGGUGCUCCACUGGAUUUUUCUGUGCGUCUGUUAAAUUCAAGCUCAGAUAAUCCACAUAGUUCUGAAUGCACCAUUUGAUCAAUGUUGCUUACUUGAUUCCAUAUGAAACUGGAAUAAUGAUUUAAGUAAGUAUGGUUUCCUUGUGUAGUUAUUGUCUGUUUAACUUAGAGACUGAAAGUAACAGGCGAUUAUGAUUGACAGUUGGGUGGUCGUAGUCAAAUUAAGUUGUUGUUGGGCCUGAUCCCAUGGCUAUCUAGGUCUAUGCCUUUUGCUCUGCUAGGCUGCUAUCCAUCAGGUUAACUAAACUAGUACGGUUCACUAAACUUCAUGCCGAGAUAUUCCAGUUUGCAAAAAUAUUUAAUGUGAGAGGUGUGAUAUGUGUGUCUGUCCUCUAGCUAGAUGAACUGUUACUGUCGUAGAUAAGUUCUGGGAAACAUUACACUUAUCUUAUGUUUCAGCAUCCUUUUGUUACUUAUUUCAUCCCCUUUUCUGCAAGAAACCGACUGUAAUCUCAGUCAUAUAGUAUUUUAUUUUACUGUAUGAGACUGAUAUAGUUUUGGUUGGCCUGACCGUGUAUGUAUGGUUCAUUUUCUUUGUACCUUAAUAUUCAGUUUGUAGGUCAUCCUUUUGAAGUGAAUCUGUUGAAAAUUGAGCUUCCCCAUCUGAUCUGAAUCAUGGUUGUAGAUAUAUCAUCAAAGAACUUGGACGAAGGAUCAACAACUCGAUGUUGUGAACUCUGCAUAUGAGGCUGGACUUCUGCAAAAAAAAAAUCCCCAGUCCCUCUUAUGAAAUCCUACCUGGAGGAUUGUAAAAAUAUACUUCAGAUAACCUGAGCACUAGCAGUGGCCAAUCUGGGAUCAACGCAUAUAAGAAGAGCAAUCUGUGCUCCGCGAUAUUAUAAAGUGUGUCGAGGACCACAAACUCAAAGCUGAGUUCCCAUUGAAGGAUCUUCGACACGGCUGAAAGAAUUUGAGAAGGCCAAGACAUUACUGAUGAUGAUGGAGAACUAAAGUAUCUUACAAUGGUUAUGCCACCAAUUCUUGGAUAAUGUACAAGCUUGCUGUUUGAAGUUCAGCAAAGCUCUGUUGGAGUGUCAAGUUCUACCGAGAUGCAAUUUGAGGGACCUGGAAUGUGGAACAAUAGGUUGAAUCGGAGUUAGAUGGUCCAGAAUAGUCUUCAGCACUUUGCAACUGAGGUGUAUGUUCGCAUGAAAUGCAAAUGUACUGCUAAGUUUGUUCUAAGGCAGCGAAAGAAAAACCUGAAUUUCCUGUACAGUGUUCCCUGUUUAAUUUCCAGUGAAUUUCCUGUACAAUUUCCUCAGUAUGUACUACACAAUUUGUUAUCAGAAUUUCCCCAAGAUGUACUGGGUGUUAUUGUACAUAUUAUCAAGAUGUUGUUAUCGAUGAAUAUUACAA